UACGUAGGGUGCAAGCGUUAAUCGGAAUUACUGGGCGUAAAGUGUGCGCAGGCGGCAUUGCAAGUCGAGUGUGAAAGCCCCGGGCUUAACUUGGGAAUUGCGCUCGAAACUGCAGUGCUGGAGUGUGGCAGAGGAAGGUGGAAUUCCACGUGUAGCGGUGAAAUGCGUAGAGAUGUGGAGGAACACCGAUGGCGAAGGCAGCCUUCUGGGCCAACACUGACGCUCAUGCACGAAAGCGUGGGGAGCAAACAGG
rnacentral:rRNA from 1 species